AUCAUGUUGAGGGAGAGGUUGUUGUCCUGGCACCAGAAGGCCAGGUCUCUGACCUCCUCCCUAUAGGCUGUCUCGUUGUCGGUGAUCAGGCCUACCACUGUUGUGUCAUCAGCAAUUUGUUGAUGAAAGAGCAAAUAUGUCUCUCACUCGCCCCAUGUAUGCGUCUUACAGAUAUUUCCAUGUUUAUAAUGUACUUGAAUGAUAGCAGCCACUGCUGUCUGCUUAAAGAAUGAGGGGCCUGCCAAUGUGAAGCGAUACUUUUUUUGACUGCUGUUAAUCCAGCCAGCCAAAUACUUUGCUGUUUGACAGAUAUAAAAUAGUGUAAUCAUUUAACAACAAAAUAGAUUGUGAACAUGGUACAUUUCUACCCAUUAUGACAGAAAGACUGGAUGAAACACAACUCCAGAAAUGUAAAACCCCUGGGCACUCCCAAACCACAUGAAAAAAUGCCCCAGGAGCCCCCUGAGGACACAGUGAGCAAUUUGGGGUCUGUCUAGCUGUCAUUUGAAAUAGUUUGCAUGUUGUGCAGUAAGUUCUAUGGGCCAAAUUGUAAUGUAUCAUUUGGUGGUUGGGGUUUCUUGAUGAAAUUGAUAUGUUGGACCAAACUCUGGUUCAAUUAGUUACAGUAUUACAUACGGAAAUGUCUUUCUUCCAUGACACGUGGGAAGGGAUUGGUUUAUGAGUAAUUUUACGUAGCAGAGAAUGUAAUUUAGAGACCAGUCCCUGUGUACUACUAUGCAUAAAUAAUUUGUGGAUAGGAUGGAUAGACCAUUCUUGCACCCAAGGGACUCCAUAAGCAUCCAAAGCAGAACGGAGAAAAAGGAAGUGCCAGGUACGUUAAAUUGCUUCUGUGAGUAUUGAGUAUUGCAGUUGCUAUUUGUUUGGAGGUGUGGAGGGGGGUUGGAUGCAGUUUUCGGUUAGGAUUGGUAUAGUGAUGACUGAAUCAAGGCCUCUGCAACUCAGGCACCAAUUCCCAUUUAUUAACAAGGCUCAGUCUUGCCAUCAAACUUAUUUUCUUAUCCCUCUCUUCUUCUCCUCAUUCUAUCACUCUACCUAUUCACUCUUCAGCCUCCAUGAUGAACAUGUCUACCGCAACCAUCGCUAUCAUUGGAGGGGUCCUAGUUUGGGUCCUGGUCCUGAGAAUUGUCAUCUACUAAUGCUGGAAGAAGAGGAACAAAGCUAAGCAGGAGAAUGUUAAAGGAGCUCCAGAAGCAGUGGAGUUCCAUGACACGCCCACUCUCAAUGUUGGGAUUCGCAGAGCUACGCCUCCCCUGGCUCAGGCAAUCCCUCUGUCAAACACACGCACAACCAGCAAGACAAAGGAGCUGAUCAUGGACUACAGGAAACAGAGGGCCGAGCACGCCAUCCACAUCGACAGGGAUGUAGUGGAGCGGGUCAAGAGCUUCAAGUUCCU